UCGCGGAGUAGAGCAGCUUGGUAGCUCAUAAGGCUCAUAACCUUAAGGUCACGGGUUCAAAUCCCGUCUCCGCAAA
rnacentral:tRNA from 1 species